GACGAACGCUGGCGGCGUGCUUAACACAUGCAAGUCGAACGGAAAGGCCCUGCUUUUGUGGGGUGCUCGAGUGGCGAACGGGUGAGUAACACGUGAGUAACCUGCCCUUGACUUUGGGAUAACUUCAGGAAACUGGGGCUAAUACCGGAUAGGAGCUCCUGCUGCAUGGUGGGGGUUGGAAAGUUUCGGCGGUUGGGGAUGGACUCGCGGCUUAUCAGCUUGUUGGUGGGGUAGUGGCUUACCAAGGCUUUGACGGGUAGCCGGCCUGAGAGGGUGACCGGCCACAUUGGGACUGAGAUACGGCCCAGACUCCUACGGGAGGCAGCAGUGGGGAAUAUUGCACAAUGGGCGGAAGCCUGAUGCAGCAACGCCGCGUGCGGGAUGACGGCCUUCGGGUUGUAAACCGCUUUCGCCUGUGACGAAGCGUGAGUGACGGCUAUGGGUAAAGAAGCACCGGCUAACUACGUG
rnacentral:rRNA from 1 species